rnacentral:rRNA from 1 species
UACACUCCUACGGGAGGCAGCAGUAGGGAAUCUUCCACAAUGGGUGCAAACCUGAUGGAGCAAUGCCGCGUGAGUGAAGAAGGUCUUCGGAUCGUAAAGCUCUGUUGUUAGAGAAGAACACGUGCUAGGUAACUACUAGCGCCUUGACGGUAUCUAACCAGAAAGUCACGGCUAACUACGUGCCAGCAGCCGCGGUAAUACGUAGGUGACAAGCGUUGUCCGGAUUUAUUGGGCGUAAAGGGAGCGCAGGCGGUCUGUUUAGUCUAAUGUGAAAGCCCACGGCUUAACCGUGGAACGGCAUUGGAAACUGACAGACUUGAAUGUAGAAGAGGAAAAUGGAAUUCCAAGUGUAGCGGUGGAAUGCGUAGAUAUUUGGAGGAACACCAGUGGCGAAGGCGAUUUUCUGGUCUAACAUUGACGCUGAGGCUCGAAAGCGUGGGGAGCGAACAGGAUUAGAUACCCCAGUAGUCCCAUG